rnacentral:ncRNA from 1 species
CCUAUGAGCAUACACUAGACCCUUCAAAGCCCUCGCCUUCUUAGCCCUGCGAAGUCUACCAUGGGUGAAGUAGGCUCAAAUCUUUGAAGCGUGAGCCAAUCCACCAAGCUAGUCCCGAGGGACGGAGGAGGCUAGGUUAGCCGAAAGGUGGUUUAUCGGUUCAAGGACGCAAGGUGACCUUGCUUUUUUUUUCAGGGUAAGAAGGGGUAGAGGAAAUGCCUCGAGCCAAUGUCCGAGUACUAGGCGCUACGGCGCUAAAGUAACCCAUGCCAUACUCCCAGGAAAAGCUCGAACGACCUUCAACAAAAGGGUACCUGUACCCGAAACCAACACAGGUGGGUAGGUAGAGAUUACCUAGGGGCACGAGACAACUCUCUCUAAGGAACUUGGCAAAAUAGCCCCGUAACUUCGGGAGAAUGGGUGCCUCCUCACACACCAACCUAAUAGGGCAAACCAAACACCUCUUCCGGGAUCCAGAAGGAGACGAGCACCCAGGUCAGCCUGUCGAAGGAGCCACA